UUUCUCUCGGUCUGUACGGUGUAUAAGGAAUUAUGGAUUAUCGAAAUGGUGAUUUCUUGUUCCGCUUUCAAUUGUACGAAGCGGUGGAGUAAGGAGAGUGACUUACCAUUUCACAGGUUUCCUCUAAAGCACCCAGAGCUACUAAAUACGUGGAUUACUUCCGUGAAGCGGAAAGAUUUUAAUCCUACGUCUUGCAGUUACUUUGCGGAAACCAUUUCCGACAAGAUGAUUACGUAGUGAACCCUGGAACGUGGAAGAAACGUCUCAAACCCGAAGCAGUGCCAUCAGUUUUUGACUUUCCGACACAUUUGAUGCCACCAAAUAAACAGCCACGACGACAUGUUGUUACGAUUUUGAGUGCCAACGAUGAUUCUCCAUUUGAGCGUUCUGUCAUGGAAUCCGUGCUCGAUUUUCCCAUUGCAGACGCUACUGAUUGCGGGGAGAAUGUUGUCAAUGAGAAUUCUUCCGUGGAAAGCAUGUCCCACUUAUCCAAUGCAGAAGCUGUGAAUUGUGUCGAAAACAGUGCAGUUGGUUCUUCAGUAAUUGAUUGUGGUAUACAGUCGAAAGUAGAAAUGGAAGACAUGGCGACCGAAACUUGCAUUAUAUUUCUUUUUUCCUCAGACAUUGUGCACUAAUUAAAACGUAAACUGAAGUGUGUCCGUGAAAAACUUCGAAGAAGGAAGUGUUUUCCAUUGAUGACAUCAUAAGUUCAUUGAAGGAGAAGGGGCAUCUUCCUGAGAAGUUACAUCAAUCAUCAGAAAGGAACACAAGUGGAAUUAGUGUGCAUUGUAGUGAACACCUCUCUCUCGUCAAAGGGUAAUAGAUACACAACAAAUGUGAAAAUGUUUGCUAUGACUGUGUACUUUUAUUCACCAGCAGCAUAUGAAUACCAGCAAAAAUUAAUGCCUCUGCCCCAUACAUCAUUGAUUUCCAAAUGGGUGGCAAGUGUAGACUGUGAUCCUGGCUUCUUAAAAGAUGUUUUCAAGUACAUUGAUUUGAACCCAAUUGUAAGGGACCAGUUCAGCGAUUCAUGUCUAAUUGUAGACAGUAUGGGAAUUAGGAAGCAAGUAGUUUGGGACCAAGGAACUAAGCAAUACACAGGUUUUUUAGACUUUGGUGGGGAAGUGCCUCAGUCAAAAGAAGUAAUAGAGGCAUCUGAGGCUCUGGUUUUCAUGCUUGUCUCUAUUAAAGGCAAAUUUAAAUGCCCGAUUGCAUAUUUCUUUAUCAAUGGUGUACAGGCAAAUAAUCAGGCCACACUGAUAAAAUCUGCUUUAGAGAGGCUGCAUAGUUCUGGCAUUAGGGUUUGGUGUGUUACAUGUGAUGGCUGUAAGGUAAAUAUAAGCACUUUACGUUCACUUGGCUGUACUUUAAAUUUUUCCAAGGGUGAUUUUAAAAGCUACUUUCCUCACCGUGUGGAAAAAUACAAUGUUUAUUGUAUCCUGGGCAUGUAUAUAAUUAAGUUUGCCAGAAAUGCUCUAGCAGAAGUAUCUGCUAUUGAGUCUCCAACUGGCAUUAUUAGAUGGCAUUUCAUUGAGAAAUUGAACAAGGUACAACAAGAAGAAGGUAUGACAUUUGCCAACAAUCAGGACAACGUAUAAGUAGUGUAAAUAGAAAAAUGAAUGUUUCAUUAGCUGCACAGACUUUUGAGUUCUAGCGUGGCAGAUAGUAUAUAGUUUUUGAGGAGGGUUGGUGAUCCAAAUCUUAUAGGAAGUGAAGCAACAGUAGAAUUUUUGUAUUAUAUUAAUAGGAUUUUUGAUAUUCUGAACUCCAGAAAUCCAUUAGGUAAAGGGUAUAAGAGCCCCCUGAGACUUGACAACAAAUCUUAUUGGCUUGGUAUAUUCAGAGACACUGAAAAUUAUAUCAAAAGCUUAAAAAUCAUUGGUGUUCCAUUGCUGCUCCAUGCAAGAAAUACUUUUGCUUUUGGGAUAAUUUUCAGUAUCCAAUCAGUCAGGCACAUAGCUCUGGCAAUUAUGCUUCGUGUUGAAUCUCCUCUGAAGUAUUUGCUAACUUAUAAACUGUCACAAAACCACAUAGAGCUUUUUUUUUUCCAGCAUUCAGUCCAGAGGUGGUUGGAACAACAUUACAAAUGCAUACCAGUUCAAAUGUGCCAUGAGAAAGUUGCUCUUGAGUAACCGUGUCACUGCAAUGAAUGGGAAUUGCUCAAAUUUUAAUGUGUGUUGUUUGCCACCUGUUUAUGAUUUUCAUGCAAGAAAGCAUGUAGUUCAAAAUGGUUGAAAUGGCUCUGAGCAUUAUGGGACUUAACAUCUAUAGUCAUCAGUCUCCUGAACUUAGAACUACUUAAACCUAACUAACCUAAGGACAUCACACAACACCCAGUCAUCACGAGACAGAGAAAAUCCCUGACCCCGCCGGGAAUCGAACCCGGGAUCCCUGGGCCCGGGAAGUGAGAACGCUACAGCACGACCACGAGCUGCGGACAAAGCAUGCAGUAGAAAGUGAUGAAAGUGCUGCAGAAAAUGAAGUAGAGAAGUGGUGUGCAAUUCUUGAUGAUAAGUUUAAGUUCUCAUUUUUCAAGCAAAACAUACUCUAUUAUAUUGCAGGGUAUGUGUCAUUGCGCCUUUCAAGGCAGAUCACAUGCAAAGACUGUCUUCACAUACUGAAGCCAUCAGUAGUUAAAUCUGCAUUAGAAUGUAUUUAUCUCUAUGCUUUUCCCAAUAUGGCCAAUAAAAAUGCAUUUGUAAAUUUUGUUAACUGGGGAAAAUUGGUUAAAACAAGUGACUGCGUGUACUCUGUUGUAGAAUACUCAGAAACUGUUUCAGAUGUUUGUGAUUGCUGGGGAUAUGCGACAGAAAUAUAUACAGGCCAAGAUUUUGCAUUGUGUUAAAAUUAAAUUUGUAGAUUACCCAUCUCCUGCUCCUGCUCUUGGUCAUGAUUACCAUUAUGAAAUUGGGAUUGAGGACUUACAUCAGACUCAACUUGUUUGUAAGAUUGCCCUGUACUCCUGUACACACUUAAAAACAUAUGGAGAAAAAAGCCUGCUGAGAAAAUUUUAAACAACAAAUCAAGUAUAAGGCAGAAGUUAAAUAAACUCAUAUUGUUUAAUCAUGUAUAGUGCUCACAUUGGAAAAGAUUAUGUAUUGGUACAUUUCUUGCAGAUGGGUGUGACAUUUUGACAGACUUUUUAAAACUAUU